rnacentral:rRNA from 1 species
GACGAACGCUGGCGGCGUGCUUAACACAUGCAAGUCGAACGGAAAGGCCCUGCUUUUGUGGGGUGCUCGAGUGGCGAACGGGUGAGUAACACGUGAGUAACCUGCCCCUGACUUUGGGAUAACUUCAGGAAACUGGGGCUAAUACCGGAUAGGAGCCCCUGCUGCAUGGUGGGGGUUGGAAAGUUUCGGCGGUUGGGGAUGGACUCGCGGCUUAUCAGCUUGUUGGUGGGGUAGUGGCUUACCAAGGCUUUGACGGGUAGCCGGCCUGAGAGGGUGACCGGCCACAUUGGGACUGAGAUACGGCCCAGACUCCUACGGGAGGCAGCAGUGGGGAAUAUUGCACAAUGGGCGGAAGCCUGAUGCAGCAACGCCGCGUGCGGGAUGACGGCCUUCGGGUUGUAAACCGCUUUCGCCUGUGACGAAGCGUGAGUGACGGUAAUGGGUAAAGAAGCACCGGCUAACUACGUG